rnacentral:rRNA from 1 species
GCUGGGCGGAUUAGUGGCGAACGGGUGAGUAAUACGUGAGUAACCUGCCCUUGACUCUGGGAUAAGCCUGGGAAACUGGGUCUAAUACUGGAUACUACCUCUUGCCGCAUGGUGGGUGGUGGAAAGGGUUUUACUGGUUUUGGAUGGGCUCACGGCCUAUCAGCUUGUUGGUGGGGUAAUGGCUCACCAAGGCGACGACGGGUAGCCGGCCUGAGAGGGUGACCGGCCACACUGGGACUGAGACACGGCCCAGACUCCUACGGGAGGCAGCAGUGGGGAAUAUUGCACAAUGGGCGGAAGCCUGAUGCAGCGACGCCGCGUGAGGGAUGACGGCCUUCGGGUUGUAAACCUCUUUCAGUAGGGAAGAAGCGAGAGUGACGGUACCUGCAGAAGAAGCGCCGGCUAACUACGUGCCAGCACCCGCGGUAAUACGUAUGGCGCAAGCGUUGUCCGGAAUUAUUGGGCGUAAAGAGCUCGUAGCGGUUUGUCGCGUCUGCUGUGAAAGCCCGGGGCUCAACCCCGGGUCUGCAGUGUGUACGGGCAGACUAAGUGCAGUAGGGGAGACUGGAAUUCCUGGUGUAGCGGUGAAAUGCGCAGAUAUCACGAAGAACACCGAUGGCGAGGCAAGGUCUCUGGGCUGUUACUGACGCUGAGGAGCGAAAGCAUGGGGAGCGAACAGGAUUAGAUACCCUGGUAGUCCAUGCCGUAAACGUUGGGCACUAGGUGUGGGGGACAUUUCCACGUUUUCCGCGCCGUAGCUAACGCAUUAAGUGCCCCGCCUGGGGAGUACGGCCGCAAGGCUAAAACUCAAAGGAAUUGACGGGGGCCCGCACAAGCGGCGGAGCAUGCGGAUUAAUUCGAUGCAACGCGAAGAACCUUACCAAGGCUUGACAUUCACCGGACCGCCCCAGAGAUGGGGUUUCCCUUCGGGGCUGGUGGACAGGUGGUGCAUGGUUGUCGUCAGCUCGUGUCGUGAGAUGUUGGGUUAAGUCCCGCAACGAGCGCAACCCUCGUUCUAUGUUGCCAGCACGUGAUGGUGGGGACUCAUAGGAGACUGCCGGGGUCAACUCGGAGGAAGGUGGGGAUGACGUCAAAUCAUCAUGCCCCUUAUGUCUUGGGCUUCACGCAUGCUACAAUGGCCGGUACAAAGGGUUGCGAUACUGUGAGGUGGAGCUAAUCCCAAAAAGCCGGUCUCAGUUCGGAUUGAGGUCUGCAACUCGACCUCAUGAAGUCGGAGUCGCUAGUAAUCGCAGAUCAGCAACGCUGCGGUGAAUACGUUCCCGGGCCUUGUACACACCGCCCGUCAAGUCACGAAAGUUGGUAACACCCGAAGCC